UACGAUGGGGGCUAGCGUUGUUCGGAUUUACUGGGCGUAAAGCGCACGUAGGCGGAUCUUUAAGUCAGAGGUGAAAUCCCAAGGCUCAACCUUGGAACUGCCUUUGAUACUGGGGAUCUUGAGUCCGGGAGAGGUGAGUGGAACUGCGAGUGUAGAGGUGAAAUUCGUAGAUAUUCGCAAGAACACCAGUGGCGAAGGCGGCUCACUGGCCCGGUACUGACGCUGAGGUGCGAAAGCGUGGGUAGCGAACGGG
rnacentral:rRNA from 1 species